rnacentral:rRNA from 1 species
CAGAUUGAACGCUGGCGGCAGGCCUAACACAUGCAAGUCGGACGGUAGCACAGAGGAGCUUGCUCCUCGGGUGACGAGUGGCGGACGGGUGAGUAAUGUCUGGGGAUCUGCCCGAUAGAGGGGGAUAACCACUGGAAACGGUGGCUAAUACCGCAUAACGUCGCAAGACCAAAGAGGGGGACCUUCGGGCCUCUCACUAUCGGAUGAACCCAGAUGGGAUUAGCUAGUAGGCGGGGUAACGGCCCACCUAGGCGACGAUCCCUAGCUGGUCUGAGAGGAUGACCAGCCACACUGGAACUGAGACACGGUCCAGACUCCUACGGGAGGCAGCAGUGGGGAAUAUUGCACAAUGGGCGCAAGCCUGAUGCAGCCAUGCCGCGUGUAUGAAGAAGGCCUUCGGGUUGUAAAGUACUUUCAGCGGGGAGGAAGGCGAUGUGGUUAAUAACCGNNNNNAUUGACGUUACCCGCAGAAGAAGCACCGGCUAA